rnacentral:rRNA from 1 species
GUUGCCAGCGGUCCGGCCGGGAACUCAAAGGAGGCUGCCAGUGAUAAACUGGAGGAAGGUGGGGAUGACGUCAAGUCAUCAUGGCCCUUACGACCAGGGCUACACACGUGCUACAAUGGCGCAUACAAAGAGAAGCGACCUCGCGAGAGCAAGCGGACCUCAUAAAGUGCGUCGUAGUCCGGAUUGGAGUCUGCAACUCGACUCCAUGAAGUCGGAAUCGCUAGUAAUCGUGGAUCAGAAUGCCACGGUGAAUACGUUCCCGGGCCUUGUACACACCGCCCGUCACACCAUGGGAGUGGGUUGCAAAAGAAGUAGGUAGCUUAACCUUCGGGAGGGCGCUUACCACUUUGUGAUUCAUGACUGGGGUGAAGUCGUAACAAGGUAACCGUAGGGGAACCUGCGGUUGGAUCACCU